UUUGCUAUGAUGAAGUUGCUAAUCUAUAUGUCUGGACAUAUGAGACUUGUCUAUGAUAUGAUAAUGCAUCUUUCUGAGCACUAUCUUUUUACUAGUUAUGUUUUUAAUGCUACUUGAAACUUUGUUGCUCAAGUUCAGAAGUUCUCUUUCUUUUUUAAGGUUUGUCUUCAUUGCCAAUGCCAUUUAGAUUUAUUGCUGGUGGUUAUAUUGUCAAAAGCAUCCAUAAUGACAAUGGGUCUCUUUGUCUGUUUAUAGAUUAUGUUGUGUAAAGUUGUGUAAAAACAUCUUCACAACCGUUAAAUAGACCUGGUGAAUAAAAUAAUGUUUGUUCAUAUAUAUAUAUGUGUGUGUGUGUGUGUGUGUGUGUGUGUGUGUGUGGUGGUAGCUUCUCUUCAGCUUUGGCCUUGGUGUUUGAUGUCAGCAUGUCAAUUAAAUCAGAUUGCUGCACCAGACGAAGUUGUAAUGCCUUGUUUCUUCUAUAGUGGGAUUCCAAAUUGGGAAUGAAGUUGAAUGUGUUUAGGCUGCAUUUGAGGCAGUUGCGCUGCCAAACGCUCCCUUAGAUCAGUAGGUUCCCUUAGAUCCUUAGAUCAGUAGGAUUUGUUAUGGAUCCUCUCUUAUGCGAUAAAAGUUUGUUAAUUAUCAAUGAGUUGUUAACUCUUUGAAUUGUUAAAUUUUCAAAUCAGUGAUAUCUAGCAUCAGAACUCCUCAAAUACUUCGUGGGAAAGUAAAAUUAAUCCUUUUUUUUUUUUAAUGUAUGGGACUUUCUAAUGUGAAAUGAGCACUUAAACAGGUUUGUAGCCCGACCAAUGAGUUUUUAGCCUAGUGGGAUAGUCCUAGCACUCCCACUCACAAUAUGUAAGAGCGAGCGUUGGGUUUUUGGUUUAGUGGGAGAGUUUGGACACUUACAAUAUGUAAGAAUCCAUAAAAUAUUAUGAUGGUUAAUUGCAGUCUAUUCUCAAUUAUUUUAUAAGAGUGUGGAGAUUAUUUUUCCUCAUUGGAAAUAUGAGUAGAGUGGAUGUCUUGAUCAUUUUACUGUAAUAUCAAUAAUAGUUCUAUAUAUCAAUAUUGAAAAAAAAAAGGGUUAGUAGCUCGAGCCAAUAGUACAAUUGAAAAGUUGAAUAUGUUGUGUUAUCGGUGGUUUCCUAGUCUAAGGUAUAUUAACAUCCGUUAUAUUAACAUUUAUUAUACUAGUUCCCAACUAAAUGUAAUAUACAUGUAUUAGUAUUAUGAGACCACUUGCUAGAACAGUAAUGUUUUGGUGAAAACAAUCACAUAUAAUUUUAAAAUAUUUAUGUUGUAUUAUUAAAAUUUAAUAAUUGAAUAUACGGAAGUAUAUUUAAAUUCAUAAUACUUAAUUAUUUCUAAGGGAUGUGUUACUAUUCAAUUACUAAUACAGUAAUACCCAAUCAGAAGGUCAAAAGGACAAUGGAUUUUGCUUUCGACCAUGCCCCUGAUGCGUAGUUGCAGUAUGGCUACUAUUUUGAGUGGUGCUAUCGGCACCCCCGAAUUAAUCUUCUAAAAUCCUGACUUAUGCAAUUGCAAUAAAGGACAAAACUAUCUAACUGAACCCAUUCCGUUCCUUGUACCCUGUCUCCUCAAAACUCUUUACAACUAACACACCCAAACAGCCAUAUCCACAUUUCUUUCUCAUCGUACUCCUUUUUUUUUUUUUUUGUAAUCUCAACAUCGAAUGGAUUAAUAAAUUGAUUACUGAAUUUGGAUCUAACAACUUUUUUUUUUAAAUGACAAUUACUCUAUUGUGUAAAAGUAUAGCCAUACAAGUAAUUUCUAGCAAACUCAGCUCUCAAACAUUCAGAAAAAUCGAAUCUUGUAAAAAGAUUGUUCAGAUAAAUUAGCAGUUAUGAAUUCCUUUUAAUCUUCAUUUAAAAAAAUUUUAAAAGUCAGAUAGAGCAAAUAAGGUUAAGGGUUAAAUAUUAUAGAUAUUAGUUUUAAUCUAUAAUUUAAAAUUAUUGGAGAAAUAAAUGAUUGGUAUUUAAACAUUUUUCACCAAGAAAAUUAAGGAUAAUGGGUAAAUUGGGUAGGAAGUGAGUAGAACACUCUAUGAUUGAAAUCAAGAAAGUUGUGUUUAGUAAAAAAAAAUUGUAGAGCGAUAGAAAAAGAAAAAUGAUGGGUUUACUUAAAGAUAGGGCUUUAAGAGGAUUUUAAAAGAGCGCCAAUAGUACAAUUCUAUUAUUUUAAGUGGGGUCCUCUAAUAUUUGAGUGAAAAAAGAUUUAAAUUGUAUUAUAAUAGAUUUGGUCUAACACUCUUAGGUUGAUCCAAAUUAUUCUAUUGAAUUUUUUGUUAUAAAUAUUAGUAACAUUUUAAUUGCAAUGUACAUAUCAAUUUUAAAAAAAUAAAUAGGGGCAUUGCCACUUUCCUCCUAUAGUAAUUAACAUAUAUCAUUUAUCCCCCUACUGUUUUUAUAAUGGCCAAAAACCCCCUGACAAUAUAAGUUUAUAAUAUUAACCUUAUUUUUAAUUACUCUUUUAUUUACAUUUAUUUUAAAUUAAAUAAAUUACAUGAAUAGAAACUAAAUAAAAAAAUUAAGUAUUAAAAAUAAGAAAUAUAUGUUUUGAUAUGAGCAAAAAAAUUAAUAAUAAAUUUUUUUCUUGUAAUUAUUUAUUUUGUGAAUAUUUUCUUAUAAUAAACAUUUUGUAAUAAUUUUAAAAUUAAAUGUAAAAAGUAUAGGUAAAAUAUUUUAUUAUUUAUCUUAUAAUAAAUUUUUAUUUGUCAUUCAAAUUUUCUUAUAAUAAGUUUUUUAUCAUUUUAUAAUUACUUUCUUAUAUAUUUAUUAUAAGAAAAUUUUCACAAAAUAAAUAAGUACAAGAAAAAAAUUUUAUUAUUAAUUUUUUUCUCAUAUCAAAACAUAUAUUUCUUGUUUUUAAUGCUUAAUUUGUUAUUUAGUUUCUAUUUAUGUGAUUUAUUUAAUUUAUAAUAAAUGAAAAUAAAAGAGUAGUUGAAAAUAAAGGUAAUAUUGUAAACUUAUGCUGUCAGGGAGGUUGUUAGCCAUUAUAAAAACAGCAAGAAGGAAAAUUAUAUAUGUUGAUUACUGUAGGGAGGAAAUUGACAAUCUCCCAAAUAAAUAAAUAAUAACACAACUUGAAAUGAAUGCAUCCAUUUUGGCAUUUUCCAUAACUCUACUUUGACUUGUUUCGGACGACUUUAGUACUACCUUUUAGAUUAUUCAACCUCAAUCCGGUAGGCUCAAGACCUCCAACAAGAGAUCCAUUAACCAAUGGACUUCGGCCAGAAACAUAUCGAAGAAUGGCCCUUUAAAUAUAAUCUUCCCCGAGAGAGAAAGGAUGAGACAAUUGGGUGAAUGGAAAGGUUGGAGAUCCAAUGUUCAUCAAUUAUAGUCAUCAAUCAAAUCCUUACCCCUAACAUAUCAAGGGGCGUAAGAAUUCAACGAUUACAUUACCAGUAGAAAGUGAAAACGUGAUGCUGACACCACAAAGUGAAACACGAUAAGAAUUUAAAGCCGACAAAAGAACAAUAACAUCACCAGGCUAAUCUAAGAUAAGUUAACUUUAAGAGUAUGGGUUCUAGUCCCAGUGCAGAGUCAUCGUUGGGACUUAUCUUUAUGUAUAAUAGGGAUUUAUUUAGGGAUGGCAAAAUCCUCCACGGGUUUGGGGUCCCAUGAAACCCCACCCCAAAUGGGGAAAUUUUUUAAUAAUUUUUGGAGAAUGGGGUGGGGAGUGGGGAAAAAGUAAUCCCUAAAUUGUUAACGGGGUGGGGUUUGGUAUUGCACUCCCCACCCCACCCCCACCCCAAUCCCCAUUAUAUAUAAAUAUGUUUUUAAUUCUUAUUUAAUAAUUUGUAUUUUAUCAACUAUAAUGUCAAUUAAUAAUUUUUUUUAAUUUUUAUGUAAUAUAAAUAGAAUAUGAAUAAAAGAAAAUUCUAUAAUAUUUUUCAACUUUAAAACAUUAAUAUAUUUUCUUUUCUCUUUUAAGGUGCUGCUUUCUUUAAAUAUUUUUCACUUUUAAUAUCAUUUUAAGAUAUUGUUUCAAAUUUUUAGAGAUUUUUAAAAAAAAUUAAAUACUUUAUAAUAUUGUGAUGAUUUUAUCUUAAGUCUCUAAUUUUUAAUUUACUGAAAUCAUAUUUUUAUAUCUACUAUAAAAUAUGUAAAUGGGGAAUGGGGUGGAGAUGGGGGAAUCAUUUCCCACGUGGGGAUUCCCCAUCCCCAACCCACUAAAUUUAUUGGGGAAUGGGGUGGGGAAUGGAGGCAAAAAUUUUUAAUGGGGUGGGGAAUGAGGUAGGCAUCCCCACCCCCACCCCGCCCCAUUGCCAUCCCUAGAUUUAUUGGCUCUCUCCCAAUUUAUCUCCCUGUAUAAUAGGAGUUUAUUAGCUCUCCACAUUGAAGUAUGAUCGAUUUUCCUCCGAUAAUAGUGAAGGUAAAUAUCUCUCCAGUUUAAUGAAGAUUGAUAUUCAAACUGUAUUGAAAUAGAAUUACUCAAAUAAAUCCCGAUGAAUUUCUGAUCGAAAAUAUCAAGAUUGUAAUAUAUAAGUGUAUAUAUAAAAAAAAAGAUAUGUUAACUUUACCAAGAAAAAAAAGUGCGACUGGGAACGUAAAAUCAAAAACAAAACAAAACAAAACACAAAGCAGAAAAAGAACGUCAAGUAAAACAAGGAUUCAUUGAAUAAAUUAAAUUCAUAAAACAUCGCAUGGCUUCUCUAUGAUCGAAAUAUCAAGGAACUCUUCUGCUAGAAUAGUAACUAACAAAAUCGCUCGAGCAGAAUAAAUUAGCUCUGCUGCAGACGCUAUAUAGAAAAACAAAAAUUCUACGGAAUAUAAGAAAUCAUGUACAAAAGUUAAGCCAACUGUAUUUACAUCCGCUUCGCAAAUCUAUCCUAAUCUUCCACCGACUGAAUCUCACCCAUCAUGAUACGGUUACUCACCACAUUAAAUCCCAAAACUGAAGGACUAACCUUCUUUCCUUUCUUCCCCUUUUUCUUGCCUCCCCCCUUGGCAGACCCAUCAGUGCCCACUGCAUUAUCCCGGCCAAAGUCUCCAAUGCCUGCAUUCUCAGAACUCGUAUCUCCAGCGCUGACACCACUGAACUUCCGAUCAUUCCGACUUUGAAAGGCAAUGUCAAGUACAUCUGCUGGUAACAACUCCUUGUAGUCGAGAAACUUGUCAAUGAACUCAUGAUUGGGAUCAAAGGAUCCAAGGUUCUCUUUCAGAAGCAACUCAGCUUCUGAUCUGGAUUGCUUCAAACAAAACUCCAAGAAACUCGUAUCUAGCAAGAGAAAAAAGAUUUAAAGACCAUUUUACCUCAGUUUCUUUUAAGUAAAUUCCAAGGAACUAAUCUUAAAAAAGAAGGAAAAAAAAAAGUUAGCAUGCGGUACUAAAAUUACAGAUCAAGCUCACACCAGUAAAAUUUUUCAUUUUUGUACUGGUUUUGUAUUUUGAUACACAACAGACAGAAGAAUAGAAGUAAACCAUCUUUUCUGGUCAGGGGGCAUUAACAUACCACUAAAAAUAUCUUUCUAUUUGCUCAUUUUAGAUCUUAUGGUCCGACAAGCCACAUUUAACCAUCUUUAUAUUUGCAGUUCUUUAUAGGGAGAAAACCGAGGAGGAGGAAGGAGGCACUAUUACUUGCAGCUACUACAGAAGACAGCAUUAUCCUUUGAUCCUCUACUUCCACCGAAACUACCAAAUUAAUUUUAUGGCAAACCAGAAAGUAGUAAAAGAUACCUUUUGUCCCAAUGAUCCUAACACACUCGCUCUCACACCAAUCGCUGAAGUCCAUGGCCUCUGGGAGGGUUGAAAAAGUUAGAAAAUGUCAGACCAUAACUGAGUUUGAAAACAAGGACACCAAGCUUACAAUAUUUUUACCUGAGUGCUUUGUCAAGGCAUCUUUUUUCCCUUUCAAGGACGACUGCGCAGAAGCAGGUGAGGAUGAAAGAGUGCGCUCGGCAGUUCUGCCACCCAUAGAUUUCUGACGGCUUAAUGACCCACCCGAAGUUGCUUUUACAGGGGUGUUUUUAGUUCCCCAACUGCCCUGGUUUGAAAGAAGAGGGAAAUCUGACCUGUUUACAGGAAAGAAAACACAAAUUACUUGGCCUUUCAAUACAGCUACCAGGAUUUGGUCAAAAGAAAAGAAAUCAAACAAAAGAUAAACCCAGGGCUAAAUUAAAACAAAUCAGAUAUUUAAGAAACACUUCAUUCCAAGAACGAUCAAAAUUUUGAUUCAAAAAUAUUAGCACCGCAAAAAAAACAAAAAGAAAAAGAAAAUAGAGCAAGAUGGAAUAAGAUUAAAAUCAUACUGCUUAGUUUCUUUCUUUGAUUGUUCAAGUGGGCCCCAGAAUAGAUCGUCAUCUCCUUUAUAUUUUGACUGAGCAACAGAUUGGGAAUUGAUCUGGAUAGGAGAAGCAGCUUUAGAUGGAGAAGCGGAAACUGAUCGGGAUAGAUUACCACCAUCAGUAGCCUGAGGCGGCAGAGACUUUUGGGGAGUUGUUAUUUGACUUGGGGGCUGGGAAGAAGAAACCUUCUUCUCUUGCUCUUUUAGGAUAUCCCUUAAUGAUGUAGGUUUAGGGGCCUUCUUGGCGUCAGUAGACCAAGCAGGACCAGUUGAAGUAUUUGCGGACUCCCCCUUCCAAAGAACAAAAUCUCCCAAAGAUGGGCCUGAUGGUAUUGCUGGCAAUACUUCCUUCUCCUGCUGCACCAGACGAGAGUUUUUGCCCUUCUCAAUGGGACUUGUACCAACAGGAACAUCAGAAGACGCUGCUGAGACCUUAGUAACUCCAGAACCCUUAGCUUUUGCAGACUUUUUGCGACUCUUUUUAGUUUCUUUAGCCUCAAUAAAGUUACCAUCAUCAACAGAUUCAGCAUGCACAUUCGUACCCUGUAAGCUAGGAAAACUAGACACACUAUUAGGAGCCUCCACAUCUCUUUCGAUGGACUUUGCCAAAACUUCUUCUGCCAAGAGAUCAUGUAACUGGCUCUUCUUGCUCUUUGUUUCUGGAGAAUUUUCUGGUUUCUCCACGUUCAACUCAGUAACAACUACAUCUUUUCGAAUUUCCUUAGAAACUUUAGGGUCUGAAUGGGCCACAAUACCUGUCCAAGGGGAUGACAGAUUUAUGGAGUGGACAGAGCUAGUGAUCUCAGACACUGCCAUUUCUGCCUGUGCCCUUCUCUGUUCUUCUUGUUGAAUUUCCAAUAAUGACUUUGGCUUGAAACCAGGAGCAGGUUUCCAUGCUCGAUGUCCAGGCUCUAUUUGACUAUUUGGUACUGACGCAGACGCAACAGACCUGAAUUCACUAUCGAUUUCAACAGUUUCAACAUCAUUCCCAGAAAUAUUUUCAGGUAAUGAGCUCUUAAUAUGUUGAGCAUCAGGAUUUUCUGCAGUAACAGCCACAGAAUCACUCUCUCUUUUCUUUUGUGUAGAUGUUACAUAGUGUGUUUCUCCUGCAUUAUUAUUUGUCUCAGAUUUUCUCUCACCAAUUAGCCCUCCUGUUUCAGAUUGCUUUGAUUGCUGCAAAGAGGAUAUUUUUGUUACUCCCUUUGAUUGGUCUGAAGAUUGUGACUUACCAGACUUCUGCUUUCUUGACUUCUUCUCAGAACCUUUUUUCCCCUCACGAACCUCAACACUCUUUACCUCUGUCACCAUUGAAAGUCCAUCAAUGCUUUUCUUGCUUUCAACCUGCAGUGCAUCAAGAGCAACAUCUGGUUGAGCUUUUACAUCAUUCGAAUGCUCAGGCAUAGAUGCAAUACUUUCACAAAUUCCGGUAGGUGGUACAAAAGGAAGUUCACAAAACUCUGAAGGUAAAGAGUCCUCUGUUGCAUCCUUUAUAGUUUCAUCAGCCCUAUGAAUGUCUUCAGAUGCCUUCUCAUCACUUAGAGGAGCAUGACCAUCGGAAGCAAAGACUGGUUUCUCUAGUAGAGAAGACUCGCGAAGAGAUUUGUUCAUCACAUCUAACGAAGGAAAGCUUUCGCCUUCUAUUGGUGCUGCCAACUUGUCCUUAAGAUGGAUAUCAUCUAUCUGUUCUGGACGAGUAGCAGUCCAGCUCUUCUGAUGAUUAAACACCUGAUGUGGGAACUGCACAAAAUCAGACCCACUAGAAUGGCCUAAAUCCUGAGUCACUUGUGGAGGUAAAUUCAGUAGGUCUUUCAUACGUUCAUCUCGCAUCUUUGGAACCGGUAUCUGCAAGCCACCCUGUAGCAAUUCUUGCGAUGACUGAAGCCGAGAAGGAUCUGCUGGUAUGGCUGCCUGUGACGGUGCAUAAGACUGCUCAUUGAAAAGCUGGUGAGAAUGAUGUUCUGACAGAACCUGAGAAAGCAACUGCUGUUGCCGUAGCAACUGUUGCUGCUCCUCCUGUUUCUGUUGCUGCUUAAACAACAAGAGCUGAUCCAGCAACAAUAGCUGCUGUGCUGGAACAGGAGCCUGGGAUUGAGCCUGCAAUAAGUACUGGUGCUGCUGCAACAUAUUUAACACUUGUGGGUCUUGAGAUAAACUAGAGGAAAUUACUUUUUCAGGCGUUGAUAAACCAGCAGCAGGAUUAUCUAUAGUUUGACCUAGUAAAUUCACUAAAGAGGUUGGACUCUGUGUUUGCAACCUUUGGUUUUGAAUCCCAAAGGCGGAUUGGGGAGGAAAGUUUUGAGUAUGAUGAAAAUCAGGUUUAUUCUGAAUUGGAUCCAAGCCACUUUGGGCAGAGAAAUUUGGCCAACCAGAAACACCACCGUUUAUGCUAGAGGCAGACCUGUCAGAUAAACCUUGGAGGAUGGACAUCAAUUCAGCACUUUGAGAAUGAGGCGGUUGGCGAGAAUUGUCAGUCACUGAAGAUAGGAGUUUCGCAUGUGGCGUCUGGGAGUCGGAGACUAUAUCAGACUGUGAAACCAUAGGUGCAGCGUCUCUUCCUGGCCAAAAAGAAUAAGGAUUGGGCAAAGAUCUCUGCCGUUCAAGUGACAUUCUCUUCACCAAGAGAUAUGGGUCAUUUGAAAUAUCUAAACCAGAUGGAGGACCACCACUGGGAUUAUUUCCAACAUAACCUUGAAAACCUACAAAUCAACCACAAUCCUCAAUUUUUCACGUAAUACAACAACAAAUCGCAACGAGAAAAAGUAUAGAUAACAAAAUUUCUCCAAUUCGGAAAACUUUUCACAUUUAUCUAGUGAACAACAAAAUCGAACUUCUUCAAAAAAGAAAACCAACCUUGAGGAAUAUUACUCAUAUUACCAGCCAUUAAUGACUCCAAGAACCUAUUUUCAGCUUCCAUUGCCGAACUCUCCUUAUGCCUUGUCUCAUUCCUCAUUACAUCAAAGCCACUGUAGUUUGGUCGAUUUAAUGCAUCUGUUUCAUUAUGUUUUGGCACAUUAAAUCCAGGUGGUGGCCUGGCCUUAGCUCGUAAAUGGGGCAUAACAUCACCAAGUAACGAAAAUGGUGAGUCAUUUGAUGCACCAGCAAGGCGGACUAGUAAAUCUAUACCAAAAUACCCAGCCUCAAACCAUCCAAUAAUAUCAAUCCCUCUAAAAGGACCUUGAAUUUCACCCUGAGGAUCUUUAUAGUAAAGUACAAGUUCUUCUGGCGUCGGCUGUGAAAUCUUUCUGGCUUCCUGUUCCCUGUCCAUAACUAUUGAUGACUGCCUUUUAAUAACAGGAUCCUCACUGGUCUGCCAUUUAGCUUCAUCUCUAGAAUAUAAAGAUUUAGCCAUAUCACCAUCCCAUUGCUUAGUAGUAUCCUUCUGCAGCUGUGACCAGGCCAUAUCAGGGGAUUUUGCUCUAAUAUCACUUGGAAUAUCCCUCUGCCCAUAAGAGCCUACAUAAGAACUUUCUCCAAGUGAUGAGGUUCUCCAUGGGGUGCCAGACUGGACAGAAUUAUUUUCUUGCAUGCUUGCUUCUCUGUUGAUGGGAACUUCAGGCCUUCGAUAAGGAGUGCUAUCUUCUUUAGACGCUAUAAAAAAACAGAAAAUAAAUAAAUCAUACAUCAUGAAAGAAGAGUACAACUUUAAACAAAAGCCACUUCUAUCUAAUCUUCAUGAUCCAGUGUUACAUGUUAAAAUUCUAUGCAACAAGAGGUAGGACACAAUAUCAACUAAGGCUCAACAGCCAAAAUAGCAUACAAAUGAAAUCAAAAUAGACAAAGUAAUGUAAAUAGAACCUAUAAGUAUUUUUAACAAUUAAAUGUUUCCUCUUUUCCAGAAAAUUCAAAGCUCAGGAUAUGUUAGAAGGCUAAAAUCAUAUAAUUACACAAAAUUCAGUUAUUUUUACCAAGGUUUAUCAAAUUCAAGAAUGGCCUGCAAGGCUAUAAUACAAAUCUACACAAAAUCUCACUUUCCAUGCAAUUCUGUACCUUCAGUUCUAAACUUGUUAUCAGUGUGAGACUUUUGAUCUUGAAUGGUUUCCAUCUUUGUGUUAGACACAUAAUUGUGAGUCUGCCUAUCCAGGGAUGAGCCGUCAGAGUAAUUUGCAUAGCCACCCUUUAAAUUGUCGGAAUUUUCGUCUUUAGAAUCAUCAACUGCAAGCGAUAAAUCUUCUCUACUGUCUGCUCAAACAAGUCCAUUAAAAAAUUAAACAAUUUUACACCACAAUGAAUGGAUAAACAUAGAGAAAUAUAUCUUUGAUAGGAAUGACUACCAUGUUUGGUUCGUCUUGAUGGAGUAAAAUCCACAGAAUUCCGACCCACAGAUCCAUCUUUUGAUAUUUGAGGCGCACCACUACUUACUAUGUCCCCUUUAUCAAUUCCCUUUAAAACAGCCUAUUCAAACAGUAAAAAUAAUCAAAUCAACUGCAGAAAGUGUUGGCAAACUCACCAAAAGAAUUAAUAGGUAUGAUUACCGAUUCAUCAGGAUUAGGCGCAUAAAAUGCUAGAGGCUCUAAUGGUUCUUCCUGUGUAAGAGAAGGCACCUGGGCAAGCCCUUCUAUUAGUUUUUUAUAUGAUCUCAUAUCUGUCAUCCUAUACACAUCAAGCAAUUUGGUUCUACUGUAUCUUAAAGGAAGAUAUUCUCCAUGGUUACUUUCAACCCUGUCUGAGAGAAUUGCCAGAGACUGUGAAUGUGUAGAAACACUGUUGAUGGAGUUCCCACCAGAAAUUAGCUUCCCACGACCAGCAGAAAAAACUGGAGGAGUGCCUUCUCCACGCCCACGGCUGUAGGAAAAUGCAGGAACCUGUUUGUUAGGCGUUAGAUUUUGGUGAUGAGAAGGAUCACCUCUUCCUCGGCUUUGCAACAAGUUGGAUCUCCAAGGCCGAUAAUUUUCUCCCUCUUUCUCAUCCUUUCCAUGGCCAGAAACAUGAGAUAAUCCUUUAUCAUGAUGCAUGUCACUGUCCUUACUAGAAUCAGACCAUUUCUCGCGUAAACCAUCUGUCUCUUUAUCAUCAGGCCCCCAGCGUGUGUUCCAUUUGCUCUCACGCCUUUGAUCAUAAUUGGUGUCCCUGUUGCCUGAAUCAGUCCAACGAUCAGAGGGAGUACGGCGUGCUUCCCCAAAAUGUCUUGAGGAUGAGUUUUCUGUCCAUCGAUCCAUCCUGCGGUUGUCCCCAUGUUCUUUAUCCCCAUCCCUCCAGCGAUCUUUGCGCACCAAGGAAUUGGUGUCUCUUUCUUCAUCACGCCAGCGGUCACGUCGACCAGUUUCCAUAUCAAGCAAUGAAGGCCGAAACACAUCCUUUUUCUUAUGUAUCUCAUUCAUCUCUUCUCCAGUUCCAGAUGAUUUUUUGAUCUCUGAGCGAUCUCCAUAAGCUGGAUGCUGGCUGAAGUGACCUUCCUGCAAAAAAGAUGAAAUCAAUUGCUUUGAAGCAGCAACAUAAAUCAUAUCAUUUCCAGUAAAUAAAGCAAAAUUGAAAACCAAGCAAUCUGCUCAAACACAGAUGAUGACAUAGAUGUUGAUAGUCAAUUCGUUACAAAAGCACAAAAAGAAAUUUAAAAAAAAAAUCAUAAUUGUGUUCUCUAAUAAGUAUGCUGCUCCGAUAAACUGGAAAAAUAUGUAAUUAAACAGUAAUUUAUAACACACCCCAGUUCCUAUUCCAGGUUUACUCUCCCCUGGCUUUGGCAGAAGCCACUGCGGUGAAAGUGGAAGAGGAUUGUCAGAUCCUUGAACAUCUGCAUGAAUUAAACAGAAACAUCAAUUCAAAAUAUUUGACCAAUAGCCAGAUGCGAGCUACAGAAACAUUAAUACUAGAAAAAUAAAGAAUGUGAUGAUGAACAACAAGCCACUAAUAGACAUAACAAAUCAUGCAACAAUCAGUUCAACUGAAGUUUGUAAAAGCAAAGUAUCAAACCAAGAAAUUGCAAAAGGAAAACAUCUAAAUUUCUAGUCAGCAAUGAUUUAAUAGAAACAACACUCCACGACAUUUAUAAUCUGAAUUCGUAUAGCUCCGGCAUUAUUCUUGGAAAUUUUGCAGAGUUUUGCUAGACUUGCAUAAUUCAUUUGUUUCAACUUUCAAGCAUAACUAAAAAUUUCACAUGACCUCUGUGAAAGAAACUUUACCAUUGACCAGUGACAUAAUAAACAAUGUUAAAUAUUAACAAAACCCUAACUCAGAAAAUUUGGGUCGUAAUUUGCACUUAUCCCUAGCCACUCCAAUAACUUAACGACCAAUUAGUCACAAACGCAAAACCCAUGCAUUGACUGUAUAAAACUCACAAGAGAGAAAAAUGAUAAUAGCAGAAAAAAAUACAUCAAAGUAAGAACAGUCACAUUACAAUUUUCAAGACAGAAAUUAAAUUAAUUUGAAAUGUAUAUAAAUUUGAAUUGCAAGCUAAUUAAAAUGCUUCAGCUAAGGACCGCAUCCGUAACCAAGCUAAUUAAAAAUUAAAAUUUUAACAUAAAUUUUUUAGUCAAAAAAGUGACAAACCCUAGCUAGUAAAAUUAUUAAAAACCACACUCUCGGUCACGCAAAAUCCACUAUAAUCACCGUAUUGGGGUCAAAACCACUAAACAGCUCGAGCUAAGGUUUCGAAAGAGAAUUGGACUCAGGUAAGCCGAAAAAGAUGAGUGAGAGAAAAGAUUUGGGCUUGUUAAAAUUAAAAGGCGAGGAACCUUUGGAGAUCUGAAUGGGCGGCGUGACAGGGAGCUGGUGGCGAGAGUCGGAGGUGGAGCUAUUGGCGGCCAUGGAUGAUCGGAGACGGUUGCUUGUGUAAUUUCGGGUUUCGCCUUUUUUCCUUUUUUUUUUUCGAUUGCUUCAGCGAGGUAACGAGUGAGAGAGAAAUGGGGGGAAUUUAGGUUAUUGAGAAGCCAAUUCGAUAAAAGAAAGGGCAUAAGUUCAAACGGUGUCGUUCGCGAGCUUACGAUGGCAAGCAGAUUUGAUUUUGUUGUCACGCUGGCCCUCGUAUUACUGCUGGACGGGUUCCUAUGACAAUCCUGACGUUAUGUCUUCACGCGCUAUUGAUGUCGUUACAAUACGGGCUUGAGUGGAAUGAUUGCUGAAUGAUGGCGUGUCCCUCACGGGAUUCGGCGGUCGUGGGGAGAAAAAGGAAGGAGGUGGAUAAUCUUAUUUCCAUUCCGUUGAGUUUUUGGGGUGCGUAAUGCGCCACGAACCGCGCAGGUUAAGAUGACUAACAAAAACGACUUCGGAAGCCAUCGUUUUAGUUAUAUACUAGGAAGGGUCGCACUUUCUGAGGGCUGAAUAUUCGGACUGCUCGUGGCCAGUUAGACUGAUGACGUGUCAUGGUGAGUCAAGAAUGUGAAAUUUGAAACAAGGCAAAUGCUACGUUAUAAUUAAUGUAACAUACACACUCAACAACAACCACACAAAUUAUGUGGGCCCAUCAUUUGUGUGGUUGUUGUUGAGUGUGUAUGUUACAUUAAUUGUAACAUAGGGGCUCCUAACAAACAAACGUAAAUAAAAUAGUGUUUUGCUAAUUUAGCUGAAAAAAAAAUCUAACCUUCUUUGUAAAUUCUUGUAGAUCAAUUGCAAUUGAAUCACAAUUAAUUUAUUUCCCUCUACAUGGAUAUUAAUUUUAUUAUUGUAUUAUGGUUUACCAAUAAUAAGAUAAUUCGUAUUAACUUUUAACAUUUGUAAAUUUUUUGAACCAUUCAAAUUCUAAUUUCAAACAGUAAGAAACAUUUUGAGUCAUGUAAGGCAAUGCAUGUAGAGGAGAAAGCACAAAGAAUAUCACUUUUUGUAAUAGGUGUGAAUAGGAUGAUUGUAGAGAACAAAGGAAUAAUAAUGUGUCAGCAUUUGAAAGAUACAAAAUCAUCCACUUUGUAAAUAUAUAAGGCGAUGGAUAAAGUUUGUUGAGCAAUAUUACCAAAAUUAUAUAUUUUACUGCACAUAUAAGUUAGAAAUACUCAUAAAUAAUGUUAUUGGAUAUUACAAUAACUUAUAUUGAUCAAAUAAUUAAUUCUAUUAUUAAACACAUGCAUUGGACAUUAAUUUCAUGUGACACAAUUCUAUAAUGUUGAGCUCAUGGAUUAAUUAAUUAGUGUCAUGUGAUGCUUAUGCCACGAUAUAUAAACAAUAUUGACGAUUAAAUCGUUACUUUAUUAAUGUAUAAUUGUCAAAGUAUAACACAUGCAUUCACAGCAUGGACUGAUGUUGGUUGCAUAUAAAAUAAAAUAAAAUAAAACGACUGCAAUACAUACGUGUUUGAAUCUUUAUAUUCAUAAUUAAGUAAUUGGUUCCAAGUAAUGAUCUCCGAAUAAAAUGUUAUAAGAUACAUAUUUUGAGUGCGUGGGUUGGAUGUCAAUGUGGUUGGAAUAUCAUUUUUUUAAAAUUAAAAAAUCAAUUUGUUACUUACCAAAUAUGGCAAUUAAAAGUAUGAAGCAACUCAAUGGCAUUGCUCUUCUCCUAUCAUAUGUUACCUAGGGCCUAGGGGUACUUUAAAUUUAUAUUAAAAAUUCAAUCAAUUGUUCUUUCGUAAUGUUUUCAACCAUAAUGUCUACACUGUGUUUUUCAAAUAUAAACAAUGGCCAAUUUGAACGAAAAUCUCAUAUACCAGUGGCGGUGAAAUCUGGAUUUUGGCUUGGGCCAUAAAGUAAAAACCAUAAACAUGAGUAGUCAAUAACAUAAAAUCCUUAAAAUCGAGGAGCCAACGGAAGGGCAACGGUGGAAAAACGUAAACUCCAGCAGGUUAAAGCAGGAACAUAAAGACCUAAGGGGGUGCCCGGCGCCAGCCCAAAGUUUAGGAGAAAUUUCAAUUCAAUUCUUUUUUUUUUUCCAAUUCUCUCUCCCCCCCUCAAUUUUGUUUUAGCAUUGAGGGACAAUGGAGAAUUAUUAAAUCUAGCAGGUUAUAGCAAAAGUACGUAAACACGAGGGGGCCCAACGUAAAGUUAGAAAUGGGAAAUUUUAAAUUCAAAUGAUAUUUUCUAGACUUUUUUCGGAUCAAGGGACGGGGCCGAGUCUCUUCUGCUAAUUCUAAUCGGUAAUCACUUUUCUAUCCUCUUUGGAUUUGAAUACUUGACUUAUUGUGACCUUCUAGUCCAGUUCUGUAUAUCCCUUCCAACAAUAUCACCAUUAUCUUUAAUGCAGGGGCCAAGGUACGGUUGAGAAAUUUACUACAAGAGGGGAGCGUGUGCACUCUAAAAAGUGGGGAAAAUGAUGGCGGGAAUAUUUCGCGCCACAAAUUGGGGAAGAUUAGAAAUCGCGGGAUUUCCUAUAUAUAAACGAUCCUUGGAGAUUGCUUCUUCGCAAAACCCAAUUCGACACCAAUCACUAAAGCUUGUUUUCAAAAUGGCCCCAGCAGUUCAGCAAAAUGGCAGCCCAGAAGUCAAAGAGCCUUCUCCAAAGAUCCCAAAACUACACCAGAACGGCGUCGAAAAUGACAACAUAGGCUCUCUCUUGAGAGUUAAAAAGCUCUCCGAAAAGGCUGUUUUGCCCAAAAGAGGCUCCCCUCUUGCCGCUGGCUACGAUCUCUCCAGGUAAAUUCGGGAACUCUCCUAUGUUGCUUAAAAAUUUUUAUGGUUUCUUUUUUCUUUUUUACUAUUAUUUGUUAUCAUUGUAUUUUGCGUAGUGCUGCGGAGACUAAGGUGCCAGCAAGGGGAAAAGCUCUUGUUCCAACAGAUCUGAGCAUCGCAAUACCCGAAGGAACAUAUGCACGUAUUGGUAAUUGUUUUUUCUUUAAUGGGUUGUAGUUUUUGUUGCAAAAAUAAUUAUAAUAAUGUAAUUGGGAUUGGUUUGUAUUGUAGCGCCAAGAUCGGGACUGGCGUGGAAGCACUCAAUGGACGUGGGAGCCGGGGUGAUUGAUGCGGAUUACAGGGGCCCUGUUGGGGUGAUUUUGUUUAAUCAUUCUGAUGUUGAUUUUGAGGUGAAAGUGGGUGAUAGAAUUGCUCAAUUAAUAAUUGAGAAAAUCGUGACUCCUGAUGUGUUGGAGGUUGAGAACUUGGACUCUACUGUUAGAGGAGAAGGUGGUUUUGGCUCUACUGGGGUUUGAAUUUCUUUGUUGAAGACUAUGCGUUGUUGCAUGUGUUUUGUUUUUAUGGUAAUGUUAGUUCAGGUCUCUGGGUAGUUUUGUCGGGCAGCUGGUGUGCAGGCUAUUGGCUUGUUUUGCUGUCUUGAUUUGUAAACAACUUGGUAAGUAGUAUUGACAUGGAAGAAAUGGCAUGUAUCCUCUUGUUGUUUCUAUCUAUUUAACAACAUUUGGGUUUGUUUUGGCUGUAAAUUUACUGAUGCUAAGCUUAGUAGAAGAAAUUCUACAACUCGUACUAGUUUCUGAAUUCCAAUCUAAUUAUGAGCCAAGCAACAAGUACCGUUCAUGUACAAGUACAAGCAAGUUACCCUGAUUCGUUGUAAUGGGAAGCAUGUCAUUGAAACGCAAUGAAUUCGACACCAUUCUUUCAUUCUUGUUGAAUAAUUUAUGAUUAUAGAAUGAAAACUGAAAAACCAAGAUAUCCUUUAAUUUAUGGUUGAAGGAGGCUCAAACAACCAUUGAUGCGAAUAUUUGCAAAUGAAAUUAGGUGUUUGUGUCGCUCAAAAAUUGUAUUAUCACGCACGGCAAUGAUUAAUUGAUGAAUUAUUGAUUCAAUGACAUUGGUGGGAUCUGGGAUGCGUAGAGGAAAAAGAAAAAAAAAAAAAAGAGAAGGAAUUACAGUCGAGAAUUAAUAUUAUGGACAUACCCAGGAAUGUAGGGAGUAAUGAUUUGCUGUAGAACGUCCAAUUCCGAAUUUCGAUACUACUAUACAACAUUCAAACGGGUUCCAUUUUGAAUGGAGAACGGCAAGUUGGACAGGUGAGUCUUCUAACCAACCAAAGAUCAAUACAUCGUGCAUGAAAUACAUGCUUGCAUAUUGAGAAGUUCCUGGAGCGCUCUCCUUUGUGAACUCCAUCCAAGCACACGGCACAAAUUGCAGCCAAGUUUCUUUGACAAUCGAACCAAGGGAAUCCCCGUAUCUUCUCAAGAGACAAACCUGAAAUCCCAUCUGUGCUUGAAGCUGUGUUGUUGUAAAGCCUGUAAUCUUCAUUGAAGUCAAUGACUAGGUACAAAAUUACUACAUAAAUCUAAAGAAGGGCUAUGAUGCCAACGGAAGGGAAGGGAGGACCUGGUGAUGACGCGGAAGAAGAAAGCAUUUGAAAAAGAUCAGAAAUCGCCAUGUUCGUGGCUUAUGGUUCUUCCUCCUACCGGCUAAGGUGGCGUUUGUUUUUUUGUCUGAAAUUUGAAUAGACCUGAAUUAAUCUGAAUUCGGAAUAAAUUUGAAUAUCUGAAUCUAAAUAAUAUAUUUAUUUUUUUUUCUGAAUAUUAGAAAAUAAGUAUUAAUUUGUUUAUUUUUUUCAACUUAAAAAGUUAAAAAUAUGUACUUUUACAUUUGUAUCCUUAUUAAUUUUGAAUGUCAAAUAAAUAAUAAAUUAAAUACCAUAAUAUUUUAACAUUUAUAAGUAAAAUUAUAUUCAAGUGAAUACAUAAUUAUUUUAGAAUUUCAAUAUAUAAAAUACCAUAAAUUUUAAAUUUUAUCAUAUAUAAUAUAAGAAAGAAAAAAUAGGGAUAUUUUUAUGUGGGGUAAAUGUCUAUGGGUAAAUUUUGGAAUAGACAUGAAAAAUAAAUUAUAAAACAAUAAUAUUUUUUACAUUAGUAAGUAAUUGACUUAAUUCAGAUUUCUCCAUUAAGUAAAAAGUUAAAAAAUUUGGCUUAUUUUAUUAAGUCAAAAUUAUCUAAAAAAUCUUAUUAAAUUAUAAAAACAAACACCUUUAAUUAACUUAAUUAAUUAAGUUAAGUCAUUUUAAGUCAUUAAAUUAAAAAACAAACGCCACCUAAGUCUAUUUUUCUCCUUUUUCAAUAAAGCUUAAGUCUAUAUUUGAUUGCUUUAACUUGGGCCCAAAAAUAUCCCGUGUCAUUCCCUUAAAAAUUAACUAAAGGGCACUAGGAUGACCGCAUACAACAAGGUCAACCAUGAAUUCUCUAAUUGUCUCGAGUAGCACCCACGGAUCAACUUUGAAUUUCUCCUGAUACAAAUUUACCAUUGGAAUAUUCGAAUUGUCAUCAGUAGCAUCCACGGCACGGUUCAACUUCGUAUUCUCCUGAUACAAAUUUACCAACGUAAUAUUAAACGAAAUUUAACAUGAAUACUGAUUUUCUCUCGACCUCAAGUGAGGUUUGGUCAACUUUCUGACAUCAUGUUGGCCUCAAAAGAGAUACAAUGAAAGGACAUGACACGUUUUCCAUAACUGAAUGUGCAUGAGGAAAAACAUUCGAAUCCAUUUUUCUGAAUUAAUUACCCACAAAGGUAAGAACAUUUGAACCCAAUCGUUAAGAUAACUAGGAAUCCCAAAGACGGGUUUAACGAAAUGUCUGGGGACAAACAUUAUUAAAGUUUAAUGCAUUAUUAAAGUUUGAUUACUUUACAUACUAUAAUUCACCGGCAUAACCAGUCUUCAGUAAAAUUUUAUGCAGUCUCCGCGAUAAUUUCAGUUAAGUUGAUACAUGAAGCCAGAAACAAGAGCCAAAUUGCCAGACAAUUUUUAGCAGAAACCAUUUAUAUCCGUGGAAGAAGCGUUGAAGGAUCAGAUGGGAUAUCAGAACUUGCCUGUCAAGUGAAAAAUUAGCCUUUCAGCAAUACAGAAGUAUAAUAUUUAUCAAAACAUUCUGUGUAUUUGGAGCAAAACACCUCUAUUAGCAUGGGGAAAAUUUCUACAAAGCAUCAGGACAAAUAAAGUUACUGGAUGACCAAGACCUAUUAUCAAUGAUAAGUAUAUCAUGCUAAUAGUCUUGACAUGAGGUGUUCUGCCAUACCUCUAGGUAUCUUGUCAGCAGUGUUGUAGUACUGAAAUUAAAGCCCUCGAUCGGUUCUCUUUUCAUACGAGAAGCAUGAAGUUGCUUUCUAACCUGAGUAGCCAGAGACUGCAAUCACAGAGGGAAACAAAUAAUUUGCAAUUAUGACGAUGGAAAAGGCAUUACAAGUUGAGAAAAAUAGUAACUUCUUCAUCUUAGAAAUUUCUGUAUGGCAAAGUAUCAGCAUCUUAAACUUUCUUAGAUGAUGCAUACCUUCCCCAACUCAACUCCCCACUGAUCGAAAGAAUUGAUUCCCCAUAUGAAACCUUCCACAGCUAUUCUGUGUUCGUAGAUUGCCAACAACUGACAAAGAUAUUAUAGUAUUAGGUCAUAGAAAUAAUUUAUAAAGAGCACAUAGAGCAAGGAAAAUUGUAACAUGAUUCCAUGGGGCAAAAAGUCAGAUUUGCCAUGUAAUUGUAAUACUUUUAGGUCCUACACUUUGCCAUUGAACUAUCUUCACUUCCAUGUUUAACAGCAAACAAUUCACUGUAACGCAAAUAUCACAAAUACGUAGUUUCAAAUUUUCAAAAUGAUAAAUUAGCGAACUCGGAGAUAUAUCCAUUGAUCUUACAAAAUGUUAUUCACAAAGGUUCAAGAAUGUUUUUCACAUUAUCAGACAAUUUAAAAAAAUUCAAAUGUGACAAACACACUGACCCAGAAAGAUAAUGUGAAUAAUACUAAUAUUUAAUAGAAUUAGACACAUAAAAUCUGCCAAAUUAAAAGGAAGUAAGAAAUCACAAACCUGUCCAAUAUUGUAAGCAUUCAGUGAUGGAAGCAGAAGACUGAGAGAAGGCCGAUUGCCAGAGAAAGUCUGUGAUUUGUAACCAAUAGUUAGGGCUACUUAGAAUGAGACAUUACUACAAAGUAAGGAAGUUACCUUAUGAGGAAUUAGAUGUGGUGCAACAUUCUCUUUUUGUAGCUGCUCGGGUGUCUACAAAAGAAGGAUGUUUAAUUAGGUAUCUGGAAUUAGGGGAAAGUGUUUCAUUAUAAAGUGCAUGAGGUCGCUAGAAAAUUUAAAAAAAAAAAAAACAGCUUUGGUUUUUGGCUGGAAAUUAAAAAUAGAAAUUUUUUAUUCUUCUAUAUAGAAAACCAAUAAGAAUAAUAAAGAAUAAUAAAAGUUUGCUAUCCUUCGUAAUAGGUUGAAUGAUCAGAACAUCCAAAAGAUACAAGAAUAAAAUCUACCUUCCCCACUGCAAGGGCAUCUGGCUGUGCAAAAAAGUUGGACAUGAGUUCAUCAUGGUUACUCACCACUUCACCUGCAAACAAAUUCAGAAUUUGAUGCAUUAAUGGAUAGCUGAAAAGCCAAAGCAUUAAAAUUCAACCAUCAAUCUUGAAAUUUGCUGAACAAAUUGGAUUUGAUCUGAUGUAUACCUUUCAGGUAAACUGGUUGCUGGCUCUUCACAACACCAAUAAAAUCACAAGGAAUUACACGUCCCUGGAGAUUUCAAGAAGGAAAGUUAAUUUAUACACAGCUCACAGGUAGUUCAGAUUCAGUCUAAAUCCAUGAACCAUGUUAGAUGAACAACAAAUUACAUGGCAUGAAUGGUUACCACUUAAAUCGCAGGUCUAUAUUCUACAUUCCCCUAAAAUGACACAUCAUUUGAACUCCAAACAUAUUGUGAGCUAAAAUUAUCUUCAUCCAUUAGGUUACAGCUGAUCACACACACAGUUCCAUUAUUAAUAGAAGAGACCCAUAUUACCUAAACAUAGUAAUUGUAGGGAACCUUUCCAUAAAGGUUUCAUUUCUGACUGCCACAGGUGUAUGUUUAGAAAUUAAUGCAAUAAAAAUUGUCCAUUCAAGCUUCUACCAGACGCAGAGGGAUGUGUGUGUAACCUGGUGAAUUAGUUGAUAAAAGCUGUGCUGACCAUUAGUUCCAGGUUCACCAAAAUCAAUUUCACCGGCCUCAAAGGGAAGGGGCACGCCAUCAAUUGACACUCCCUUGCCAUUACUCUCCAUGCUAACCUAAAUCAAAGUAAAUUUAGCAAGUUAUAAGUAUUAAAAGCUUUGACAAAAGAAAAAUAAAGGAGAUUGGGCAUUUGCCUGUUGAAUAUGAGGGGCAAAUUUCUCUAGGGCUUGGGAGUAAGGUAAUAUAGCCUGGAAGAUAGCAGAGGAGUCAGGAAAUGAAUAAAAAAGAGAGAGAAAAUUGAACAGUGAUCAACAAGAAGUAGCUCAAAUUCAGUCUGGAGCCAAAACACUAACCCUGGCAGGAUGCCCAAGAAAUGAAACAUUCCAUAUGCUCAACAAACCCAAAAGUACCUGAAGCAUUGAACAGACCUGAUUAACUCCAUCCAGAACCAAGGGUAUUUGUCCAGAGAUAAAGCUCCAUUAGAAUAUUAUUGCUACCGUGUGCUGUGUCCAAUGGGAGGUACAGAUCUCUGGCUUAGUGAAAAAUAAUGUCAUUGGGGCACUUACCGGUAUAUUUUUCUCAUAAGGUGCAGAAAUGAAAUGCUGAUCAAUGCUCCAAGCACCCUUUAAGAACCUUAAAUAACAAAAGAGCAUCUUAUCAAAAUAUGCAAUAAAAUCAUGUCAGAAAAAAAUAUGCAAAUGCAUUUAUUCAGAUUGAGGAUGGGGCAGAAGCUAGAACUUGCCUGAAAGGAAGAGUUAAGAAAAGAAGGAAUAGGUGGUGUAGUUCAAAGGAACAGAUAUAGCUCACACCUUAAGUAUAGUUAAUCCCUUGAAUUACUUAUUGAGAAGCUAAGCCCUUUCUUCACUAUAUUAGUAACAAAUAAAUCCUUUGUACGUGAAAAAGAAAAAUCUCAGCUCAAUCAAGCAAGAACUCUACAUUUUAAGAAUUACAGGAAUACUGCACUAAGCACUUAACUAAGGAAAAAGCUAAAAAGGACAUGUUGGAACAAUGAUGAAAGAUGUACACAGCUCACAAAUACUGAAGAUAUGCAUCAUUUUCAUUUGCUUUUAGUUGCAUCAAGCUAAACUCUUCAUUUAUUCUGUUUUAUCUGAAAAAGAAUCCAACUCAAUACACAUCAAAUCUACUUUUCUGUAAAACAGAGACUAUUGUGUCAAUAUAAUUGAAAUCUAAUGACAAGAACUAACUUAUAUCUCUCUCUUCUCUUUAUAGUUUCUAAUAGUUUCAACUGAAGAGUAUGUACUCCUAUUCAAGUAUCAAGGUUUAUUUUGGAAUUCCACUUAAUUCCCAUAGCUUACUUCAAGAUAAUCCCAUGGCGAACAAUAAAUUCUGGCACUGAUCUCAGAAGUUGAAAGUGAUAGCAAGUAAAUAAAAACAACAAGAAGUUACCAUACUUCUCAACAACUGAGAAACCAUAUUGAAGAGACAGAGGCAAAACCCCGACAGCACUGCAAACUGCAACCAGCAAUUCAAUUACCAAUGAAAACCUUAACUGACCACAAAGUGUUCCCGAAAAGCAAACACCAUGGUUUUAAAAGAAAUUACCACUAUACCGACCACCAACCCAGUCCCAGAAUGCAAAUGCAUUAUUAGGAUCAAUGCCAAACUUUUCUACCAGCUGAAUUUGAAAGAAACAAAUAUAAGCAACAAGGUUAGUCAACUUAAACUGAUUAAUUACCCCCCAAAAAAAAAUUAAUAAAAUACUGAAAUAUGUUACAAUUUCAGACAUACAAUUUAUCCACUCUCAAGUUGAACAGAGAGGAUGCACAAAAGUCGUUUAGAUAAGCUUUUACCAAGCAUACGAGAAAAUAAUUGAAAUAACUCAAUUGGUAUUCUGUGAAUUGGCAGGAGCAAAUUACAAAAAUUAUUAUCAGGUGUUGCAGAAAAUGAUGUACUGAUUUAGGCGCCUGUCUUUUGCGGGUCAUUUAUGCUCUCUGAACUGACAAAUCAGAAUUUGUCACAGGAAAUUACUGAGUAAAUAUUAUCGUAAGGCAAAAGAAUAUACACUAAAACCAGGGUAGCUAGACAUCCAGACCCUAAACUAAUGAAUGUCAAAAGUAAACCAAUCUUUAACAGAUGAAAGAUCAAUCCAAAUUGCAGCAAAUUGCUUUAUCAUCAGAGUGCAGGUAACGAAAGAAAUUAUUACCGUAAGAUUAGUACUGACAGCCACCAUGUGCUUUGCAACUGCAGAAGGCCUGAAAAUAUAUGCAUAAUCACAUGAAAAUUAAGAGCAGAGACCAGCAAAACAGAGAGAAAAAUGAAAUAUCGAAGAGAAUUCUAACCGGAAAACAAACUAAUACCAAUUCAUAGAGUACAACGCGCUCUCACUUUUACAUCCAAUAGUUCUUUUAAUUUUUUUGUUUUUGAUAAUUUCCAGAUAAGCACCUAAAUCUAAGCCAUUGAUUUCAAACCUGAAACUACCAGAAUGACAACAUUACUGAAGAAUCAGUAGAGUAUCAUUUUUGCACUGACCCAAGAGCAGUUGAUAUCCAUUCUCUCAAUGUUCGAGCAUUCAGCAUAGUUUCAGCUGUUGUAAAAGUCUUUGAAACCACCACAACUGCAUAGGUGUACAAGAAAAACAGACAAAACGAUCAAAAUUACGAACGGUUCAUAAAUAAUUCAAGUAAACUAAUACAAAUUAAUAAAACGAAAGGCAAUACCAAGGGUAGUUUCAGGGUUUAGUCCCGUGAUACUUUUAGCAACAUCAAUGGGAUCAACAUUUGCUAGACUGUGGUCAAUGCAAAUAAGAAAUUGUCACAACUGUUCAGAAUGGUCUUUGGUGAUAUCACGCAAAACAACUAUAGGACUAAAAGCCUUUUUUAUGACUCACGAAGAGAUUUGUACAGUUACCAUCUCAUUUCGAGGAUUGAUAAAUGUAGAAAAGAACAUACACAACUUCAGUGACAGAUAAGUACUUACAAUCGCAACUGGCGUCCUCUUGCACAUUCAAUGGCUUCUAGAUCUGUCAGUAACCAUCGGUAAGUCAAAAAUAUCUUGGUCAUGUUCAAUGGGAAAAGAAUUUCAAAGAUUUGGAAGGAGAAAGAUCACAACCGUAUGACUAUAUGAGUAAAGUUAACAAACUGAAACAAAGCUUUGAUUGGUUUGCACAAUACCAGUUUGGAGAGCAGUGUGCACAAAGAGAGGACCCAAGAAACUGCCGCCAAUACCAACGGCAACAACAUCUUUCAAUACUUUUCCAGUGGCUCCAACCUGCCAAAAACAUUUUCCUACUAGAUUAUCCAUGCUUUUCCCGUUCAAGUAUUAACCUGAUUUUGCGUUAAAAAGAACAAAAGAUAAAUUACCCAGGAACCACUGCGGAUUGUCUCAGAAAACUCUUUUAUCUUGUCCAGAACUUUCCAAACUUCUGGAACCACAUUCUUCCCAUCACUAUUUAUGGCAGCAUCCCUUGGAGCACGAAGAGCUACAUGAAGCACAGACCUAUUCUCUGUGCUGUUAAUCUGCAGGUGUUACCAAUGCACAAUCCAAAACCAUUGUAAUAUCAUAAUAAUGCCAUCAUGUUGGAGCACCGACAAAACAUCAAGUCCAGUAAAAAAAAGCAAAUUAUUAAAUCUGGUCAUACAAAGCAAGAGCUUUGGAUACCUUCUGUACAAUAGUGAAUUCGUGACCUUGACAUUUAAGUAUCACAAAGCCAAAUUUUUAUAAAUUUACUUGUCUCACAGAGAGCGGCUGGCUCAAUCAUGGUCAACAGUACCUUAUAAAGAGUUAGUUUCACCCUAGUCUACAAAAGAUAUGAGCAGCAGAGAUAAACCUUGACUUACUUUUUCCCCAUUGUACAUCCGGUUAAUCUUAUUAUUGAGUUGAGCAGCCUGCAAUGAGAAAAGGGUAGUAGCACUAGAAUUUAGAAGAUUGAUUUUACCCAGUUUCCAAAAUUGAAAUAAUCCAACUUCACCUCUGCCAGUUGAUAGAGUUUGUCCAUUGUCUUAAGCGUGGCAUUUUGCCGUGAGUAGUCCAACAGAAUCCCGUCAAACUCCCUGCAUAAAUUCCCAAAAACAAAAUCAUAAACUAAUUAUUCACAGCAUUAUUAUAAAAUCAAUCAAUUAAGCAAUGAUCUUAGGUUCAUCUCCAAUGGUGCAAAUUACAUACACCAUCAUUGAUUGGCAUCGAUCAGUGUCACUCAUCAAAUCACGUAAAUGAGUCUUUUUAAUUUCCUGCACAUGGUUCUGCACAAUCACAGGAAAAAAAAGAAAAAAAAGAAAUCCACGUUAAGUUCAUAAAUAUUACUGCAUACGCAGUUCCGAAUACUCAUUGCAACAAAAUAACAGGAAGAAGCAAUUCACCUUCAAGUCCUUCCAUGGCUCGGUGUCACAAAUUAGAGUUGAUGAAGCCAUUUGCAAAAUCCUGGAUCAAACAAUAUGUGAUAGAAAAUAGAAAGUCAAUUGAUAUCAUUCUAGUAGUUUGUGACACUUUGAAGCAAAGCUACAAAGUUCAAAACUCAUUUUAAGUUGACUUUCCCCCCAAUUUCUAUGCUACCUAAGAGUUGAAUGUUAUAUUUCUACAAUCAAGUGAAAAACAGAAACAAAAAUAAUGAGCUUCACAAUGAUCAACCAAAUCAAUUUUAAAAAGAGAGAGAAGGAGAUUGAUUCGGAUUGUAAAGAAAUAAAUGAAAAAAGAAACUUAAAAACAAUAAUACCUGAAGGAGAAACCAAGGAAAGAGAGAGAUUUGUAGAAGAAUUGGAUGAGGUGGAUUGCGGGCAAUUGGAAAUAUAGAGAGCGUAAGAACCAAAAAGCAUGAAGCUUCGCAAAGGAGAGGACGAAAGUUGUCAAGUGGCAAGGGGU
rnacentral:lncRNA from 1 species